rnacentral:rRNA from 1 species
AUUGAACGCUGGCGGCAGGCCUAACACAUGCAAGUCGAACGGUAACAGGAAGCAGCUUGCUGCUUUGCUGACGAGUGGCGGACGGGUGAGUAAUGUCUGGGAAACUGCCUGAUGGAGGGGGAUAACUACUGGAAACGGUAGCUAAUACCGCAUAACGUCGCAAGACCAAAGAGGGGGACCUUCGGGCCUCUUGCCAUCGGAUGUGCCCAGAUGGGAUUAGCUAGUAGGUGGGGUAACGGCUCACCUAGGCGACGAUCCCUAGCAGGUCUGAGAGGAUGACCAGCCACACUGGAACUGAGACACGGUCCAGACUCCUACGGGAGGCAGCAGUGGGGAAUAUUGCACAAUGGGCGCAAGCCUGAUGCAGCCAUGCCGCGUGUAUGAAGAAGGCCUUCGGGUUGUAAAGUACUUUCAGCGGGGAGGAAGGGAGUAAAGUUAAUACCUUUGCUCAUUGACGUUGCCCGCAGAAGAAGCACCGGCUAACUCCGUG